ACUUCUGGGAACGGCUGCGCGGCCCGGGCGUGCGCAGGCGCAGAUCACUGAACUGCUGGAGCCCCGGACCUGAGGUUGAGGGCGCGUUCUGCGCUGGUCCUGGCGGGGAGAGGGCGAGUCCCUGAUGGUCCUGUACCAGGGAGUUCUGAGAAAGGGUGUGCGGAGCUCUUCCCUUCCGAGGCCUUAGGCCUGUGUGUGAGGAUCCGCCUUGUAGAAUCGGCGACGUGGCUCUGAGGACCGUGGCGUGCUUGCAUGGGUGUGAACAUCUGAACGUGGGUUCAUAGUCUAGCCAAACUAUGUGUGUACGUGUGUAUCUCUUUACUAAAACCUCAUUACACCUGAAAUGUCACAGGUACUAUUAUGUUUCCAUUUUAGAAUUGAAGCUUCUGAGAUAAAAGGAGGUUACAUACUGUGUACAAGUUAUACAGUUUAGUGGCAAAGUUUUGUUUCCAGGUGAGAUAACGUGGAUAAUGUGAGACCGUACUGUAUAAUGCCUUUUCUUUGUAGGGAAAGAGAGAGUGAACUUGGGUCCUUUUAAAGACUAUCCAGAAAAAAAUACUUUAUUCACGUUUCACGAUAUUGUGCCCACCAGAAACGGACUUUUGUGACAGGGAAUUUUUUCAUCCCUUUCUGUUGUGUUGUGAAUGAUGUCGGCUUGACCGUAAAGAAGCCCAUAGGUGAACUAACAUCUUUAACUUGUGUUCCUGGUCAUGAGAUCCCAUUGAAAAAUAUUUUCCGUCUCAGGCAGACGGACAAUAAGAUAAAUUUUGGCUACAGACUUAAAAAAUCUAGAAAGAAGGUGCUAUCAUAAGAAUCAGGGUUGUGUCCAUAUGUAUUUAGAAUCAUAAGUUUACCAAAUGGGAAAUAUAAAGUUAGUCAAAGGAUGCCCAAAUUUUAUCACUAUUACAUAUUUGAAGUAUUUUAUCACUAUUACAUAUUUGAAAUAUGUGUAGCAAUUCAAAAGGUAUUAACAUGUUUAAAAAGGUAAGCAACCUUUCCUUAUAUUUAUCUCAGUCAUACGGUAGCUCACGUUAGAGUCUCCAACGUUUUGAUUUUGUUGGUGUGUAUCCUUCUGGGGAAGUUAUUUUCACAUACAAAUACUCACAUUUACUAUAAAAUGUAUAUAUGUGUGUGUGUGUAUAUACACAUAUAUACACAAACACAUAUACAUAAUUUCAAGUACAUUUAUAUGUUAUAUGCAUAUACGUUUGUAUUUUCCUCACACAAAUGUGUUUCCAAAUCAGUACAUAGUGUCAUAAUUUCCAACAGUUGCCUAAGGGCGCAAAGUAUGGCUACACCCUAAUUUAAGAAACAAGUCUUCUACUAAGUAUUUUAAAGAAUUUCCUUUGUUAAAAGCAAUACUCUAAUCAGUAUUCCUACAUAUACAUCAGUUUGCUUAUUUUUAGGUUGAUAUGUAAAUUAAAUUCUCAAAAGUGGGUUAUGUGAAUUUUGACUUGUGAUGUUGACAAAUUUCUCCUUAACAUGACUGUACCAUUUUACAUUUUUGCAGUAAUGUAUGGAGUAUUUAUUUCCAUACUCAACGCAACUCAUUUUGCCUAGUUCUUAUUCUAAUGCUCCACUUUCUCCAAGCCUGAAAAAGCAUCUAUUUCCUUUGAAUCAAGUUCAAUGAGGUUUCUACACCUGUAAUUUUAGCCUCAUACGUCUUAUAAAGAGGACAACAGUGUAAUAAUAUUUCUGUUAAGUCUGUAGACUCAGCAAAAUGAAAUUUCAAUCAAAGACCUAUUUCUAAGAUUAUUUUAGGUAGCUCAACUUCAGACAACACAUAAAAACUAGGCUGAGGACAGGAUAGCAUCUCUAUUUGAAGUUUGAGUUUUAUAAAAAUCCUACGCAGUGUGGGCACAGAAAGCUCAUGAAACAGUAGUACAAAUGAGUAGGAAGGUGGUUUUUUUGGCCUCCUCCUCACUUCCUUGGUGACAGAAGUCCCACCCUAGGGUUCUGGAGAUGUCUGAACACAUGAUAUCUAGACACUGGAUAAAUGAGAUUGAUAGCAGUUUAUUAAUCAUAUAUCCUCACAUCCCAGGGAAGGACGACACCAUACACCAUGGGGGUGGUUACACUAGGGAGCAGAGUAAACCAGCAGGGGCUGUGGGAGGCUGAUUUUGUAGCAGCAAGAUAGGUGCCCCCUUAUUUCCAUGGGAAGAUGUGAUUGGUUUGCUUGAAUAAUUUUGUGGGCUAGUAGGGAGGUGAAAGCCUUUAGGUUGAGGACUAGGGUGCAGCUGAUCUAGCUAAUAUUUGGAUUACCUGGCUGAGAGCUUUUCCUACUGACUGGGGCAUCUCUGGUUAGAGCAAGGGAACUCACGGGUAGGCCUUUGGGGGUCCUGUGAGGCUAAGACAUUAAGAUAUUAAAGAUAUUAAGACAACAGGUGAAAUUUUAGGCCUUAAAAUACAGAAUAAAGAAGGAAGAAACAUGAAAUAAUUGCUCUUUAGUAAUUUCAUUAUAAAAAUUAUUUCAAAAUUUGGAACUGAAAAGCAGAUUAAAUAUUCAUAAUAAAGCUGUACUAUAAAAAUCA